GUAGGCGGCUUUAUAAGUCAGGAGGUGAAAGCCCCGUGGAAAGCCAGGGAACUGCAUUUGAUACUGGAGAGCUUGAAUUUGGUUGAAGGAGCUGGAAUAUGCAGUGUAGCGGUGAAAUGCUUAGAUAUUACAUGGAACACCAAUGGCGAAGGCAAGUUCCUGACCUGACAUUGACGCUGAUGGGCGAAAGCGUGGGGAGCAAACAGGAUUAGAUACCCUGGUAGUCCACGCCGUAAACGAUGGAUACUAGCUGUUGGA
rnacentral:rRNA from 1 species